rnacentral:rRNA from 1 species
ACGGAGGUUGCAAGCGUUGUUCGGAAUGACUGGGCGUAAAGGGAGCGCAGGCGGUUUGGUUAGUCUAAAGUGAAAUCCCAGGGCUCAACUCUGGACUGGCUUUGGAUACUGUCAAACUUGAGUACGUGAGAGGAGAUUGGAAUUCCCGGUGUAGUGGUGGAAUGCGUAGAGAUCGGGAGGAACACCAGAGGCGCAAGCGGGUGCCUGGGCGACGACUGACACUGAGGGACGAAAGCGUGGGGAGCGAACAG